CCUCACUGAACCUACCUCACAUUACGGUCGCUAACCAGGCCCCCGGUGGGCCGCUUCACUUUUGGGCCGGUGUUAUACGGUGUGUUCAUCUGAUGAUUUAGCCUCCGAUACCUGGCCGCAGAUUCGUCUGUUUAACUGAAGUUCAAAUAGACAUGUUUGUGAUGCUCCACUUUGUUGUUUAAUAAAGCUUUACAACACGA